UAACUUUCAUUUAUUUUCCGCGAUGGGUGGAUUCACAUGUUGUGUUCCUGGAUGCUUCAACAACAGUUCGAAACGAAAGGGCCUCGGAUUUUACGUGUUCCCGAAAGAGACGAAGCUUCGGCAGCUUUGGCUGCAGCGUAUCAACAGAGCUGGACAGCGUGGCAAGUUCUCAAAGUUCGUGCCCACAACAGGCCACAGAGUUUGCGGCGAACACUUCGAAGGAGGGGAAGAAAACGUAUAUGGUUCGGGUACCGAGAGUCUUUCCCCUUAAGCAAAAAAUUAUAAAGAAGCGUCGACAAAUUCAAGUGAAGCGCACUCUACCUGCCAACCGUGUUGAAGUGCAACAGCCACACAGCGAGGAAACAUCAAAUGAUGAAAACAGCACCGACUUGUGCAGUGCCACUGAGAACACUGCUUGUGAUACAUUCGAAGAACACUCAUAUACAUAUCAUGAGCACAAUGAAAAUGAUCUGCUGAAGAGGCAGCAAGAAUCCAUUCACCAUCUUGAGCAGGAACUAGAAAAAGCUAAAGCAGUAAUUACUGCAUUGAAGAAGGAGUUAGAGGAGAAAACAAAGGCUAAUGCAGAUUCAGCAAGGCUGUAUAACCGCCUUCAGCAAAAGAACAGAUGUUUGGUGC